UACGGGGGGAGCAAGCGUUGUUCGGAUUUACUGGGCGUAAAGGGCGCGUAGGGGGCGCAACGAGUCACUUGUGAAAUCUCCGGGCUUAACUCGGAAAGGUCAAGUGAUACUGUUGUGCUAGAGUGCGGAAGGGGCAACUGGAAUUCUCGGUGUAGCGGUGAAAUGCGUAGAUAUCGAGAGGAACACCUGCGGCGAAGGCGGGUUGCUGGGCCGACACUGACGCUGAUGCGCGAAAGCCAGGGGAGCGAACGGG
rnacentral:rRNA from 1 species